ACAACGGAUCUCUUGGUUCCAGCAUCGAUGAAGGACGCAGCGAAAUGCGAUAAGUAAUGUGAAUUGCAGAAUUCAGUGAAUCAUCGAAUCUUUGAACGCACAUUGCGCCCCUCGGUAUUCCGGGGGGCAUGCCUGUUCGAGCGUCAUUGCACCUCU
rnacentral:rRNA from 1 species